rnacentral:sRNA from 1 species
AGAGAAGAAAGAUAUGCUCAAGAAGUUCAUGGCUCAGAAUCCUGGGAUGGACUUCUCUAAUGCAAAGUUUAACUGAUGAUCUUUAUCCAACUCUUCUUCGUUUAAGGCCCUGUUUGUUUGUCCAUCCACAUGAUCCAUCCAAAUGGAGAUGAAAAAUGAUGUUUGUUUUUGACAAUUUAACAAGCAUUUGGAUGGAUCAUCUGGAUGAUACAUCUGAAUGAGUAUCUAAAUUUAGGCAAAUUUAUGAAACUCAUUUGGAUGAAUUUGAUUAAACCAUUUGGAUGGAGAUGUUUCAUCCAAAAAUAACAAAAAACUAAUAUACCCUCAUUUAUAGUCAUAAUUUAAAU